UAGCAUAUCAAUAAGCGGAGGAAAAAGAAACUAACAAGGAUUCCCCUAGUAACUGCGAGUGAAGCGGGAAAAGCUCAAAUUUGAAAUCUGGCGGUCUCCGGCCGUCCGAGUUGUAGUCUGGAGAAGCGUUUUCCGCGUUGGACCGUGUACAAGUUUCCUGGAACGGAGCGUCAUAGAGGGUGAGAAUCCCGUCUUUGACACGGACCCCAAUGCUUUGUGAUGCGCUCUCAAAGAGUCGAGUUGUUUGGGAAUGCAGCUCAAAAUGGGUGGUGAAUUCCAUCUAAAGCUAAAUAUUGGCGAGAGACCGAUAGCGAACAAGUACCGUGAGGGAAAGAUGAAAAGCACUUUGGAAAGAGAGUUAAACAGUACGUGAAAUUGUUGAAAGGGAAACGCUUGAAGUCAGUCGCGUCGGCCGGGACUCAGCCUUGCAUUCGCUUGGUGUACUUUCCGGUCGACGGGCCAGCAUCAGUUUUGACCGCGAGACAAAGGCGGAGGGAAUGUGGCUCUUUCGGGAGUGUUAUAGCCCUUCGUCGCAUGUCGCGGUUGGGACUGAGGACCGCAGCACGCCUUUAUGGCCGGGGUUCGCCCACGUACGUGCUUAGGAUGCUGGCGUAAUGGCUUUAAACGACCCGUCUUGAAACACGGACCAAGGAGUCUAACAUGCCUGCGAGUGUUCGGGUGGAAAACCCGUGCGCGUAAUGAAAGUGAAAGUUGGGAUCCCUGUCGUGGGGUGCACCGACGCCCGGACCAGACCUUUUGUGACGGAUCUGCGGUAGAGCAUGUAUGUUGGGACCCGAAAGAUGGUGAACUAUGCCUGAAUAGGGUGAAGCCAGAGGAAACUCUGGUGGAGGCUCGUAGCGAUUCUGACGUGCAAAUCGAUCGUCAAAUUUGGGUAUAGGGGCGAAAGACUAAUCGAAACCAUUCUAGUAGCUGGUCUGCGA
rnacentral:rRNA from 1 species